rnacentral:rRNA from 1 species
GACGAACGCUGGCGGCGUGCUUAACACAUGCAAGUCGAACGGUAAGGCCCUUCGGGGUACACGAGUGGCGAACGGGUGAGUAACACGUGGGUGAUCUGCCCUGCACUUCGGGAUAAGCCUGGGAAACUGGGUCUAAUACCGGAUAGGACCACUGCCUGCAUGGGUGGUGGUGGAAAGCUUUUGCGGUGUGGGAUGGGCCCGCGGCCUAUCAGGUUGUUGGUGGGGUGAUGGCCUACCAAGGCGACGACGGGUAGCCGGCCUGAGAGGGUGACCGGCCACACUGGGACUGAGAUACGGCCCAGACUCCUACGGGAGGCAGCAGUGGGGAAUAUUGCACAAUGGGCGCAAGCCUGAUGCAGCGAUGCCGCGUGAGGGAUGACGGCCUUCGGGUUGUAAACCUCUUUCAGCACCGACGAAGCGCAAGUGACGGUAGGUGCAGAAGAAGGACCGGCCAACUACGUGCCAGCCGCCGCGGUAA